CCAGACUCCUACGGGAGGCAGCAGUGAGGAAUAUUGGUCAAUGGGCGGAAGCCUGAACCAGCCAAGUAGCGUGCAGGAUGACGGCCCUACGGGUUGUAAACUGCUUUUAUGCGGGGAUAAAGUGAGGGACGUGUCCUUCAUUGCAGGUACCGCAUGAAUAAGGACCGGCUAAUUCCGUGCCAGCAGCCGCGGUAAUACGGAAGGUCCGGGCGUUAUCCGGAUUUAUUGGGUUUAAAGGGAGCGUAGGCCGUGGAUUAAGCGUGUUGUGAAAUGCAGGUGCUCAACGUCUGCACUGCAGCGCGAACUGGUCCACUUGAGUGUGCGCAACGCAGGCGGAAUUCGUCGUGUAGCGGUGAAAUGCUUAGAUAUGACGAAGAACUCCGAUUGCGAAGGCAGCUUGCGGGAGCACAACUGACGCUGAAGCUCGAAAGUGCGGGUAUCGAACAGGAUUAGAUACCCUGGUAGUCCGCACGGUAAACGAUGGAUGCCCGUUGUCAGGCUGUUUCAGCCUGGUGACCAAGCGAAAGCAUUAAGCAUCCCACCUGGGGAGUACGCCGGCAACGGUGAAACUCAAAGGAAUUGACGGGGGCCCGCACAAG
rnacentral:rRNA from 1 species